AGCCUUUGCGGCAUGGGAUGGGGUCGCGUCCUAUCAGCUUGAUGGCGGGGUAACGGCCCACCAUGGCUUCGACGGGUAGCCGGCCUGAGAGGGCGACCGGCCACAUUGGGACUGAGAUACGGCCCAGACUCCUACGGGAGGCAGCAGUGGGGAAUAUUGCACAAUGGGCGCAAGCCUGAUGCAGCGACGCCGCGUGAGGGAUGGAGGCCUUCGGGUUGUAAACCUCUUUUGUUAGGGAGCAAGGCAUUUUGUGUUGAGUGUACCUUUCGAAUAAGCACCGGCUAACUACGUGCCAGCAGCCGCGGUAAUACGUAGGGUGCAAGCGUUAUCCGGAAUUAUUGGGCGUAAAGGGCUCGUAGGCGGUUCGUCGCGUCCGGUGUGAAAGUCCAUCGCUUAACGGUGGAUCCGCGCCGGGUACGGGCGGGCUUGAGUGCGGUAGGGGAGACUGGAAUUCCCGGUGUAACGGUGG
rnacentral:rRNA from 1 species